rnacentral:lncRNA from 1 species
CUCCCAAUCGGCGCUGCUCUGGAGAAAUCCCGGGCUCUGAACGGGGACAGGGACUGCUCGUGACAGCGCUCUAGGCUGGGUGGGUGGGGGCUCUGAGGGCGAAGUUCAGGGGCACAGCAGCGGCGUCCCACGCUGAGGGGAGGGUCAGGCAGCUGCUUACUUAGGUAACGGGACACGGACCCAAAUGUUUCCAAGACUCGUGCAAGCAAAUUAAUCUGACCUUGGCUGAUGAUCAAGCCUCAUAAGUUCCAGUAUAGUCGUCUUAUCAUCCCAACCCAAUCUACACAGAAAAUGCUCUUGUGAAAUUAUUAGUCAUUUUAGUGAGGUGCCACAGACCAAGGACCCGGGGGCGGGGGGGUUGGUUUUUUGGUUGUUGUUUAUUUUUUACAACUUUUUUGGCAAGUAAUUCAAUAAUCUCUAUCACAAGUCCUGUAAACCCACAUAAAACUAGAUCUGAAUGCCCAUCUCGGCAUUGUGCUCUAUCCAAACAAAACACAAACUGGGUUCCCCGAGGUUUGAAAAGUGCUAUUAAUUCUUGACCAAGUUUUCCCAAGGAUGUAGCAGAGGGCAAUGACCCAUCUUGGGCCACAGGCCAGCUUGCUAGCCGCCCUUAGCCCUCCUCCUCUCCUGCGCAUGGACCACGCCGCAGGGCGGCCGCUCAGAUGACUCCCUUCUGCCUCCUACACCUGCUGACUGCCUGCCGUGGCUCCCCCUUCUCUCUGGCCAAGCUCUGCUCAGCCCAUCUUCCCUCUGGGCUCUUUCUGGCUGGACCUCCUGCAGUUCAGCUCCUUCUGCUGCUUUCAUUUCUCCUCUGUGUCACCUGCGGUCAUCUGAUCAGCCCAAGAGGCCCUAAAACGGGCUGGGUAGGCAGGGGAUGGGGGCAGGGGUGGUCCAUGGUCAGAAUGUCACAUACUUUGAGCAAGUAUUUCCACUCCUAGGAAUCUAAAGUGGAUCAAUAGAGUAACAGAUCAAAACUUCAGGUUCAAAGAUGGGUAUCAGAGUAUUAUUUACAAGAAAAAAAAAAAUGGAAACAACUGAAUAUCCAAUGAGGAGCAGUGGUUAAGUAAAUCAUGACAGCUCUGUAAAACGGAACACUGGGAAGACACUAAAACUUCUGCUUUUGAAAAUAUUUAUUGUUGUGGGAACCUGCCUGUGAUAACAUCAAAGGAAGCCAAAAUCCAGACUGCGAAGCUGCAGACAAACUAUGAUAUCAAUUUUAUUUCCCUUGAUGUGUAUGUUGAAAAAUGCUUCUCUGGUGUCCACUGCUCCAGGGUUUUUGUGGCUUCCUUGGAUCAGGUCACUGAAAAGCAGGACAUGAAGUAACAUUUUCAAGUGAGUUUUCAAGACGCUACCUCUUUUUUUUUUUUUUUUUUGGCCUGAAGAGACCCCCACCAAGAGCCAUGACCUUCCCCACAUGUGCCAGGGAAUCACAGGGAGGCGUGAAGACCUGGCUUUGCAGACAAGACCAUUCCUUGCAAGGAGCCACUCGGCAGCAGGAGCUCUUGCCUCGAAGGUAGUGACCUAGGACAGCGCAGGCUCAGGGACUAGGUAUGGAGCUCAGGCAAGCUCAACACCCCACUGAGCCCCAGGUGUUCAUCUGAAAUUAGGUUAAUAAAAUCUAUCUCAUAUGCGUGUUGGGAGAUGCCGUGAAGAAAGGCCAGAGCACAGGAGAAGCAGCAGAGCACAGAAGCUCUGGGCCAGGCUGCCCGGGUGAGCAUCCGGGCUCCUCAUCGAGAUAUAGGGGUAAUUACGGGCCUGGUCACCACCCUACAGUUCUGCCGAGAGGAUUACCACAGCCAGUACAAUAAAAUAUGGGAACAACGCCCUGGCACAAACUAAGCCCUCAAUGGAUGCGAGCUUCCUCUCCCCCUCGUGUCUUUCCGGGGGACUCUGCUUCCUCCAUCCUCUGCUCAGGACUGCCCUCCUUUCCUAGCCCAGCCUUAAGGAUGCUCCUUUAAUCCUCGUCAAUUCCUCUUUUAUGGGUCACAGUCCACUUCCUAGUGCCUGCUGUCUCUCUAGAGCAGGUGUCUGCACAGGAGGGCUCACAGGUCAAAUCCAACCUGCCACCUGUUUUUAGAAAUAAAGUUUUAUUGGAACACAGCUCACUCGUUCAUUUCGGUAUCGUUUACGGCUGCUUUUUAGUGGUAUCACGACAGAGCUGAGUAACUGCGACUGAGACCCGAUGUCCCACAGAGCCCCAAAUAUUUACGAUCUGGCCUCUUCCUGGAAAAGCUCACCAAUUUCUGUUCUGGACCAACACCGUCCGAUAAAAAACAGAAUACGAGGGAUGUGUGAUUUUUUUCACAGCCACAUGUUAAAAGGAAAAAGCAACAAGGUGAAAUUAAUUUUAGUAACAUAUUCCGCUUAAUAUAUUACAAAUAUGAUCAUUUCACUGAGUAAUAAAUAUAAUAAAUACAAAAAAUGAUCAAUGAGGUACUCGAAGCCACGCCAGAGUCUGACACAUGCACAGUGUAACACAACAGUUAUAUCUUACUGGAUGCGAGGUUGACACGUGAACUGCAGUACUUCCAGAACCAAUAAAGUUAGACUUUGCGAAAAAAACAUCCUAGGCUGGCUUUACUUUCUAAAUUUCAAUGUGAAUGAAACUAAAACACCCAGUUCCUCAAUUGCACUGGUUACCUUUCAAGGGGCCGCCAUACGGGACACCAGUGGCCUGAAAAACAACCCCUCCCUACAGAUGCUCACGCCUCUUGCACACACGGAGGCUCACUCUGCAUGUGCUUUCGCUCAAACGCAAGGUGGUUUUCAAGCGGGCAAAGGAGAACUUUUGGUGAGGGGCAGGCCAGGGGCAGCAGGAGAAAUAGGUAAAGGGGUCGGGGGUGUCCCUAGACCCCCUGGCAGGCUCUGAGCUCCUACAGAGAGAGAGGUCAGAGAUAGAAGCCGAAGGAGCCAAUCCAGACUUCGGGCCAAGUCACACUGGUUUGGGCCUCAGGGGUCCCCCUAUUCCAGCCAGCCUCCCAUCUCUGUCCAGAGUCCAGAUGGCCCUUUGCCUGGACUGGAGGCCUUGGGACCACUCAGAGAGAGCCCCCUCGCAAGGUGUGGCCACCGCCUGACAGGUGGAGGCCAGAACGAAGCUUCCCUGAGCAGCUUUAAGGGGGCAGAUGUGCAUAAAUGGGAGUCAGAGCAGGAAGGGAGGUACCUGGGGAUCGCGGCUGAUGGAUGGGGUGGUGGGUACAUGGGAGACCUCUUGGAAGACGCCUCAGAAUACUAGGAGAGGAGGUGGUGGCUCAGCGGACCGAAUCUGACUAGGAACCAUGAGGAUGUAGGUUCGAUCCCUGGCCUUGCUCAGUGGGUUAAGGAUCUGGCGUUGCUGUGGCUGUGGUGUGGGCCAGCAGCGGCAGCUCCGAUUCGACCCCUAGCCUGGGGACCUCCAUACACAGUGGAGACAGCCAUGAAAAGAAGACAAAAUGCUAGGAGACAGUUCAGGCUGCAUCCAGAUGAGCCCAGACCCAAACAGGCAAAGUCACCCAGCUAGUGACCCCUCGAAGGUCAGGAGCCUGGGGUCCAACAGGGAUGAGGGAGAGAGAGGCCUGAGCAGGAGGGAGCAGCUGGGUGGUUCCCUCCCUAGUGGGGAACAGAGCGCAACCAUCCGCGUGCCCCCGCACCUCUGACGCUCUGCGGGACCGGCCGCGUCCACUUGUUACAGGGAAGCACAGGUGAGUCACAGGCAACCUGCUGGCAGCGGCGUCCUGGGACGUGGUCCAGGGAAUGAGCACCCCGGGCACAAAGGUUCUUGAUACUGUGUCGAAUCCGGGGAGUGAGAUUUGAAGAAGGCUGGGGCAGGUAGAAGGCAUUCUGCUAGAAGGAAUGGCUAAUGGAAUAAGGCAAAUGCCAAAUAGGUACCUACAAACUUGCCCUGGAAAGGAGACCAGGUCAGUCGGCUGCUCCCGUGUCCUCCAUCUCAACUCGCUCGGCAGCUGAGCCCAGCCUCCUCCCGCUGCAGCAGGACCCCAUAGGCCCUGCUAAUCCCCAAGUCUUUUCCCGUGAAGGGUCCAGCUCUGGGGACACAGGAACAAAACCCUGGAACCACUUCACCCAUCCCUCCCAGGCCCCAGGGAGCCAGCAUCACCCUUGCACCUCCGUGCCUCUCUGGGCGCCACCGCCUUCCCUGGGCCACAGUCACGGCGGGCCAGCUCACGCCAUGCUCAUGUCCCCACUGCAGCAAAACCAGUCGUAGCACUGUGGCAUCCCAGACAGAGCCAGAGCUUGCCUUGGGAUUCCCCAGAUGGGGAGACAAGUACCCCUGGUGCGUUAUAAGGUUCUUGGCGGUGAAUCUAGCACAUUAUGCCAUCACUCUGAGCAUCAGUUUCCUCAUCUGUGAAAUGGGACUAACAAAGAACCUGCCCCACAGAGUUGCUGAGAAGAUGAACUGAGUUCACACAGUCCUCUGCUCCGGGAAGUGCUCAGUUCAACACCUGUUCGCUACUAUUUUGUUGUCAUGAAGACACACUUCUGCUGCUUAUUUAUAGUUACGAGCCUAUUUUAACGUGACUUAGAGAAGGUCAAAUCAAAAUAAACCCAUGAUUUUAUAGACCCAUGUUUAGGUCAAAGCUUGGGUGAAAAAAAAAAAACAAUGUAAAUAUACAUUUUUCAAUGAUCUUUAUUUUUUCCAUCAUAGCUGGCUUGCAGUGUUCUGUCCGUUUUCUACUGGACAGCAAGGUGACCCCGUCACACACACACAGAUGCAUUCUUUUUCUCACAUUAUCAUGCUCCAUCGAAAGUGACUAGAUAUAGUUCCCAGGGCUACCCCGCAGAAAAAAACCAUGUAAAUCUAUUUCAAGGGGAUUUUAAAUACAUGAUGGUAAAGGGUACAGACUGGUGUGGCACGAACUGGGAAGGUGGGACACAGACGAUUGCAGAAACAUUCAUGCAGUCUGAACCUUCUAGUUCAUCGAAGAGAAAACUCCGAAUAGGAAGGAACUAACAGGCUGGGACUCGGCCACCAGUGCCGUCACCGGCAGGGACCAGCCUGUCCUCUGCGGUCCUCCUGAGCACGCUGCCUCAGUAAGACUCACCAGCACGUCCUUGGAAGACGUAUUCAUAAAAGAAGCCAUGACUACGUGCCUUGUCACCAGAUGGGAUCAUACUUGACGCUCGGCUCAAAUCCCAUGUCAUUUAAACAAAAUAACCCCACAGAGUAGAAGCAACCAGCCCAUGAAACGAAGUGAGGUGUUUCUCCAGGGUGGGAGGUAAAUGGUAGAACUGGCUUCUCUGGUUCUGCCACUUCCCAGCUGUGUGACCGUGAACAUGCUGCUUAACCUCUCUGAGCUUUCAUUUUCAGAAUGGCAAGUGGAGAAAAGAGGUAGCAAGCCUGGUAGAGAGGGUUUCUUUCUUUUCUUUUUUUUUUUUUUCUUCCUUGAAAAGACAGAGCAAGACCUCUGCUGAGACAUAUACGAGUUGGCCAUGGGAAAAUCCAUAGUUAGGGAAACCUACUACCAAACCUUCAGUGGCUCCCUAUUUUUGCCGUAGCAAGUUUCCAGACCUCAACAACGUGGCCCCUUUGCACCAAGCCAACUGCGCCUCCCUGCAGCCACCCUGGUGUUUGCUCCUGCUCCCUCACUGCCCCACGAAUAAGAUACCCACAUUCUGACACCAGUGCCCCCACGCCCGCUUGAUCUCCCUGACACGAAUGUUCAGAUGGAUCGUGCAAAAAAAAAUCCGCAUCUGAAUAACUGACCCCCCUGAACGCCUGCACGAUUCAGCCUUUUCUGUAGAAUCAAGUCCAGACUCCUUCCGGCCCCUCAGAGCUGCCCCAUUCUCCAUCUCAGAACCCCUCCCAACCUCUCCUACAUAUACGGUGUAUAUUUGUACACACACACACACACACACGUGUACACACAGUCUACUCUGGAGCCAGUCACACCCACUCACCGUUCCCCCAGUAGCACAUGCUGCUUCGUACCUGCACACCUUCGCACCUGCUGCUGCUUCUUCCUGGAACACCCUAUCCCCUUUCUUCAACGGGCAAAUUCCAUCUCACUUUUGAAUACCUUGCUGAAAUGGUGCAUUUUGUCCUGCAAACCCCCACAACCCUCACUUCUUGCAGCUACGUCUCGGUCAGUAACACAGGAGCAAAUCAUAGGAGGACCUACCAAGAAAGCUCUUUGAAAGGAGCCCAGGUGGCUGUGUGGCGCUUCUGCCUUUCUCUUGUUCCCUCAUAUAAAAUGGAUGUGAUGGCUGGCACUUCAGCAGCCACCUUAGACCAUGAGGUGGCCUUCGGGAUGGAAGCCAUGCUCUGGGGAUGGAGGGGGUCUGGAAGAGGGGAGCCUGGAUACGGUUGAUAUUGUGGAAUUGCCCCAGAGCAAGCCUAGGCUUCCUCCCUUUGGUUCUUUGAUGAGAAAGGAAAAUAAACUGUUUAAACCACGGUUGUUUAAACCACGGUUGCUUUCAUUUGUUGCUGCAGUUUUACAUGCAGAAAAUCGAAUCCCGUCCAGUACAACAGCCAUGCAAGCCACUGCCAGAUUCGGCUCGUACUUCUCUCUCCGUACACACCUCUCCCUUCCCUGCUCCCAAACUCCAUGUGCUCCAAGCCUACUUAUUGAUCGUCAGUUUCCUCAAGCACCGUACUCUUCUCAGGCAUCACACCUUCUGCCCUGUCCUCAACGCCCCUCCUCCAGCCUCCCGGGGACACCUUCUCAGCUUUCCAGACCCAGGUCGAGGGACACCUCCUCCGGGAAGCCUGUCCGGACAUACUCACCCCACCCUCGCCAGGCAAAAGCAAGCACUCCCCUGUCCCACAGGCCCCCCGUCUCUCCCGUGGCCCCUCUCCUAUGUCCUCAUGUCCCUGCCCUUCAGGUCCUGGGCCGCUUGAGGCAGGAGCCGUGUCAUCCACCUUUGCCUCCGGCAUCCAGCCCAGGACCUGGCACCACGGACCAUAAAUGAAAUUGUUCAGGGAACGUUCCCCAGGACUGGAUUCAUUCUCGCCAGCC